CCUACGGGAGGCAGCAGUGAGGAAUAUUGGUCAAUGGACGCAAGUCUGAACCAGCCAUGCCGCGUGCAGGAAGACGGCUCUAUGAGUUGUAAACUGCUUUUGUACGAGGGUAAACGCAGAUACGCGUAUCUGUCUGAAAGUAUCGUACGAAUAAGGAUCGGCUAACUCCGUGCCAGCAGCCGCGGUAAUACGGAGGAUUCAAACGUUAUCCGGAUUUAUUGGGUUUAAAGGGUGCGUAGGCGGUCGGAUAAGUUAGAGGUGAAAUCCCGAGGCUCAACUUCGGAAUUGCCUCUGAUACUGUUCGGCUAGAGAGUAGUUGCGGUAGGCGGAAUGUAUGGUGUAGCGGUGAAAUGCUUAGAGAUCAUACAGAACACCGAUUGCGAAGGCAGCUUACCAAGCUACUUCUGACGUUGAGGCACGAAAGCGUGGGUAGCAAACAGGAUUAGAUACCCUUGUAGUC
rnacentral:rRNA from 1 species